AAUAUCGCAGUACUCAAUUUACUUUAGUUAUUUUGGCCAUCGGAUGAUAAAUUGAUUUUUGCUAAAUCGUAUUCUGUUAACUUGGUUUCCGGAGAAUAAAAGAAUACUCGAGAGAGGAUAGUAAACACAAGCUUAAAAAGGAAACCGAAACCACAUAAAAGCGGACGUCUAACGAGGGCUACUACGAGGGUUUGGUCAAAGGGGUUGUUGGAGGAGCAGUGGUCGGGGCAGGCGUGGGGAUAGCAGCGGUAUCUGCAGGAGCCAAAUUUGCGGCACCACAUCAUAAUAACAUCAUGCAAUCAGGGAAGAGACGAACAGAUGUGAGCGGUUCUAUAGGACAGUGUAAAAUAAUGUAAUAUGUUCACAAUGAUUAUGUGAUAUUUUGUAAUGAUAAAGAAUAACGAUGAUAUACUCACAUUAAAUCUCAUACAUUGUCCCGGAUUAUUGCCCGAUCAGUUGAUCGGAUUUCAAAGUAAGAUAAGUGUCAACAUCAUACGAAACGACCCACCAAACAUAGAUUUGAUGAUAUGUUUUGUAUAACUCUGCCUAUGUUAAAUAAACAAUCUUUGACUCAGUUAAAUUAGAGUUGACAUACAAGAUUUCUUCUACGAUCGAAUGUAUUUGUAUGAUUAAUGUGUAUCGAUGUGGAAUAUAAUAUGUUCAAAAUUCA